rnacentral:lncRNA from 1 species
GUUUGCAGCAAGCUCCGGGAGGGGAUUACAGAGUUAGGAUUGUGGAUUGUGGUUUAUGGGUAAAAUUUAACAUUAGAGUUUAGUGGUUAGAUGUCCCGGUAGUAUUUAGGGUUGGUCUUUAUAUUUAGGCUCAGGGGAUAGGUUAGAGUUAGGGGAAAGCUUUAGAUCUAGGAUGAGGGAUAAGUUUAAAGUUUUAGGGGGGAGGUACUCGGGAUUGAAUUCAACACUGAGCUACAUACCCAGCUCUAUAUUCUAUUUUAUUUAGAGACAGUGUCUCACUGAGUCGCUUAUUGCCUUAUUUUUGCUGAAGCUGGCUUUGAUAUCACGAUCCCCCUUUCUCAGCCUCCUGAGCUGCUGGGAUUACAGGUUUGUGCCACCUCACCUCACAUGAUAUGUAUAAAACCAAAGUGCUUUCAUUCCAAGCAAAUGUGCCUAGUUUUAAUAGGAUGCUACAAAAUGAACAGAACUUAUGCUCUUUUCACAUUACUUCUCUGAUUAGAAAUUAAAAAUGUAUUGCUGAUCUUUGAUUUCCUGAAUUCAGUUUUCAUCCAUUUUCCAAAUUUAUUCCAAGUGUGUCUUAGAAGCCUCAGAAUCGUUCUCUUGAGGAUAUUAUUCUCAUUGUUAAAGAAUACAAUAUGGACACAAAAAUCCUGUUUUAGUUAAAAAAAUUUUUUUUUGUUGUAGAUGGACCUUUAUUUUAUUUAUUAUUUUUUUGUGAUGCUAAGAAUCGAAUCCAGUGCCUCACGUGUGCUAAGCAAGUGCUGUACAGCUUAGCCCCAACUCCAGCCCACAAAAUCUUAUUUUUAAAAAUGUUUAUUUUUUUUCAAGAACUAAGAGAAUUUUAAUGGUUGCAUGAAUCAUGUGGUCUAGUGGUGCUCUCUGGACUUUGGAGACAUGCAGAGUUAGUCCUGAAUUCCAUGUGAUGAAUAGUUGUGUGCCUUUGAACAUUUUCUUUUUCUUCAAACUAUUGUAGGAGCCUCAUGUGUAAGAAAAGGCAGAAUGAUACUGAGUGCCAAAAUAUCAGCUAUUCUUCAUCCUUUUCUAUAUCUAUGAACUUGGCAAUGUAGUUUUCUUUUUGUCCUUUCAAAAUGGAGAAUCUGUUUCCAAAUCCUUGGCACUGAAAUGUAUUUGCUAUGGCUCAUAAUAAUCUGUUAAUUAUGAAAUUGUGUAGCCCAGUACCUAAUUUCUAAAGGUCUUGAUUUCUUUCUCAAACCCUAUCUUAUCCAUAUUAACAAGCCCCCAUUAACCUACUGGAGGAGGAGAUGUGGAGAAGAGUCAGUGCCCA